rnacentral:siRNA from 1 species
UAGCCUUACAAAAUCCCUUUA